UGAAACUAUACAUUAGGGAAAUGUAACUAUGUUUAUGUGGGUUAUUAAAAUAACAGUUUCAUACACCACUGUGCUUUAAUUUCAUUUGAGAGGCGGCAGACCAGCAGGCCGGCGUCCACCAGCACGAGCGCGGGCCCGCGCGAGCGCACGUGUGCCAGCAGCUCGGCCUGGCCCAGCGCCUGCUGCCAGACCCUGAUGCCGCAAGCCUUGGCCUCCGCGAAGCGACGCUUCACGCGCUCGCGGUCCUGCGGAGAAGAUUUGUCAAUAAAGAGCUAACAAUUGAAAGGUUUUAUGAGGCUGGAAGGUUUUGUGAAAAAGCAUUUAGAGGGAUUUUAGUAAAAUCAAACGUUUUUCUGGCCCUGGCAAAUAUUCUGGAGUAAACUAGACUAAGAUAAAAAAGGGCUUAGACCUCUUAUUACAGGCUACAUGUUUAGUGCUACAUGCAUAGUAUUGUUCCUCACCAAAUGAAUAAUCCUGUCAUAGUACCCUUGCCGGCUGUAGUUUUCAUUGACUCCAAGUGUGAUGGUAAACAUGCGGUGCUCUAUACCAAACCUGUUGACACAAUCAGCUGUUAGAUGUUCAGUCUCAAUGCCAGGGCUUUGAUAUCAAACAAAUUUAGUUUUUUGUUGAUUGACUGCUAAACAUUGGUGAAAUAACAUUAAAUGUAACAAGUUCAUAUCAA